GGGGACGUAGUUCAAAUGGUAGAACGCAUGUUUUGCAAGUAUGAUGUUAUCGGUUCAAUUCCGAUCGUCUCCA
rnacentral:tRNA from 1 species